CGAUAGUAGCAAAGCCCCGUUCUAACUGUCCCGGCGUAUCAACCUGUUUUUGGCCGACUCAAAAAGCAGUUCUCAUAAGUAAACUCGGCAGACAUUAACAACCCUUUCUCCUCCCGACCGCCCACACGCCGCCUACUCUCGCCUCUCGGCUCCAUCCGACUUCGCUGCCUCCUCUCGGCUCCAACGCACUCGGCGAGCGAAGGCACGGAGGAAAGCAAGAAGCAAGAAGCAAGAACGAAGCAAAGAGGCCAAGUAGUUUUACAAGCCCUAAUCCCUCGCAGCGAUCCUCUCGUCCAAAUUCCAAGUGAAAGGAUAUGUAAGAGAAGUAGAAUAUGAGACCUCUUGCAAAAUGGGAGUGAAAAUAGAACAUACAAAGUUUCUGGUGCGGCUGGUCCAGUGAACAACAAGGUUCGUCAUGUUUCCAAUGAGGUAAGCUGUCAGUCCCAAAUUGAACAGCAUGUAGAAAAUAUCAAAUAACAUCUCUCUCGUGUUCUCAGCAUGUAAGUCACCAUAACCAGUUGUUGUUAGUGUUGUAAUAGACCAGUAUAUUGCUGUUACAUAUCUAAUCCACAGGCUUUCUUCCCUGAA